GCAGAGAGUCUAAACCCCGGAAGGUAGUGACCUGGGGGAACAAGGACAGCAUUCAGAGACCACGAGCAGGUGUGCUACACAACAGCAGGCUAACGCAAAACAGAAAAUGACAGGGCUGAUAACGGUGAAAACUCUUAACUGCAACAUUGAGCAGGAGGUUUUGUUUGCGGGCUGUUGGGAAAGGUUCUCUCUUGUUUGCAUAGCAGUUGGUGAUGACAGAGAUUGAACAGGUCUUACCGCUCUGUGGUUCCACAACCCAUCGCCUGUGCAGCCAGGACCUUGGCAGAGAAGUCUCUCCACUAUUUCCUGGAAAGCUACCUUUAUGGAGACACCAGUGAUGCCAACAUCUACCCAGUACCGGGAUGUGUAGCAGUGGUGAUGGGAUGGGGUGAGCCAGGAGACAGGAUCAGAUCUUUUCUCUCCACUGACUCCCUGUGACCCUGGCACGAGCCACCCCUUUUUAUCAUCUGAUUUCACCUAAGAAACAGGAACAUCAGCCUCAUUUUUCUUGCUAGAUUUUGUAAUGGUAAAGAGAAAGCAUGUUCUAGCAUCCAGUAAUAGUAGUCCCUAAAACGAUAGAGGAAAACUAUGAAGGUGUGAAAUCACCCUCCUGUAAGGCACUGCUCUUCUUUAUUUUCUGCUUUAAAUAUUGCAAGUGC
rnacentral:lncRNA from 1 species